rnacentral:rRNA from 1 species
AGUUUGAUCCUGGCUCAGAAUCAACGCUGGCGGCGUGCCUCAGACAUGCAAGUCGAACGAUUAAACUUUCCUUCGGGAAAGAUAUAAAGUGGCGCACGGGUGAGUAACACGUAGGUAAUGUACCUUUGGGUGGGGAAUAACUUAGGGAAACUUAAGCUAAUACCGCAUAAUGCAGCGGCUCCUUCGGGAGACAGUUGUUAAAGAUUUAUCGCCUAAAGAGCAGCCUGCGGCAGAUUAGCUAGUUGGUAAGGUAACGGCUUACCAAGGCUACGAUCUGUAUCCGACCUGAGAGGGUGGUCGGACACACUGACACUGAAUAACGGGUCAGACUCCUACGGGAGGCAGCAGUCGGGAAUUUUGGGCAAUGGGCGAAAGCCUGACCCAGCAACGCCGCGUGAAGGAUGAAGUCUCUCGGGACGUAAACUUCGUAAGAAUAGGAAGAAUAAAUGACGGUACUAUUUGUAAGGUCCGGCUAACUACGUGCCAGCAGCCGCGGUAAUACGUAGGGACCAAGCGUUGUUCGGAUUUACUGGGCGUAAAGGGCGCGUAGGCGGCAAUUCAAGUCAGUUGUGAAAUCUCCGAGCUUAACUCGGAACGGUCAACUGAUACUGCUUUGCUAGAGUACAGAAGGGGCAAUCGGAAUUCUUGGUGUAGCGGUGAAAUGCGUAGAUAUCAAGAGGAACACCUGAGGUGAAGACGGGUUGCUGGGCUGAUACUGACGCUGAGGCGCGAAAGCUAGGGUAGCAAACGGGAUUAGAUACCCCGGUAGUCCUAGCCCUAAACGAUGAAUACUUGGUGUCUAGAGUUUUAUUCUCCGGGUGCCGUCGCUAACGUUUUUAGUAUUCCGCCUGGGGAGUACGCACGCAAGUGUGAAACUCAAAGGAAUUGACGG